rnacentral:rRNA from 1 species
GACAGAGGUGCCAAGCGUUAGGCGGAAUCACUGGGCUUAAAGCGUGUGUAGGCGGAUCGUUAAGUACCUUGUGAAAUCCCACGGUUCAACCGUGGAACUGCUGGGCAUACUGCGGGUCUUGGGCCAACUAGGGGCAGCCGGAACAAGCGGUGGAGCGGUGAAAUGCGUAGAUAUCGCUUGGAACGCCGAAGGUGAAAACAGGCUGCUGGGGUUGCGCCGACGCUGAGACACGAAAGCCAGGGGAGCAAACGGG